UACGGGGGGUGCGAGCGUUGUCCGGAAUUACUGGGCGUAAAGGGCGCGUAGGCGGCCUGUUAAGUCGAACGUGAAAUCCCCGGGCUCAACCCGGGAACUGCGUCCGAUACUGGCAGGCUUGAAUCCGGGAGAGGGAUGCGGAAUUCCAGGUGUAGCGGUGAAAUGCGUAGAUAUCUGGAGGAACACCGGUGGCGAAGGCGGCAUCCUGGACCGGCAUUGACGCUGAGGCGCGAAAGCCAGGGGAGCAAACGGGG
rnacentral:rRNA from 1 species